UACGUAGGUGGCAAGCGUUGUCCGGAUUUACUGGGCGUAAAGAGCGCGCAGGCGGUCGUUCAAGUCGCGUGUGAAAGCCCCCGGCUCAACUGGGGAGGGUCACGCGAUACUGAUCGACUCGAAGGCAGGAGAGGGUAGUGGAAUUCCCGGUGUAGCGGUGAAAUGUGUAGAGAUCGGGAGGAACACCGGUGGCGAAGGCGGCCCCCUGGUUGGAUACUGACGCUGAGACGCGAAAGCGUGGGAGCAAACAGG
rnacentral:rRNA from 1 species